GACGAACGCUGGCGGCAUGCCUAACACAUGCAAGUCGAACGGUGAACGAGGGAGCUUGCUCCCUCCCGAUCAGUGGCGAACGGGUGAGUAACACGUGAGCAAUCUGCCCUGGACUCUGGGAUAAGCGUUGGAAACGACGUCUAAUACCGGAUACGAGGCGUGGGGGCAUCCCCAACGCCUGGAAAGAACUUCGGUCCAGGAUGAGCUCGCGGCCUAUCAGCUAGUUGGUGAGGUAACGGCUCACCAAGGCGACGACGGGUAGCCGGCCUGAGAGGGUGACCGGCCACACUGGGACUGAGACACGGCCCAGACUCCUACGGGAGGCAGCAGUGGGGAAUAUUGGACAAUGGGGGCAACCCUGAUCCAGCCAUGCCGCGUGAGUGAUGAAGGCCUUCGGGUUGUAAAGCUCUUUUGGCGGGGACGAUGAUGACGGUACCCGCAGAAUAAGCCCCGGCUAACUUCGUGCCAGCCGCCGCAGUAAUAC
rnacentral:rRNA from 1 species